rnacentral:tRNA from 1 species
GGUUGUGGCUCAGUGGUAGAGCGCUUGCCUGGCACAUGUGAGGCCCUGAGUUUGAUCCCCAGCACCA